rnacentral:rRNA from 1 species
UACGUAGGCGGGAAAUUAAGUCAGUAGUGAAAUCCCACAGCUUAACUGUGGAACUGUUAUUGAUACUGGUUUUCUUGAAUAUAGUUGAGGUAGGCGGAAUGUGUAAUGUAGCGGUGAAAUGCUUAGAUAUUACACAGAACACCGAUUGCGAAGGCAGCUUACUAAGCUAUGAUUGACGCUGAGGUACGAAGGCGUGGGGAGCGAACAGGAUUAGAUACCCUGGUAGUCC